rnacentral:rRNA from 1 species
GAUGAACGCUGGCGGCGUGCCUAAUACAUGCAAGUCGAGCGAACAGACGAGGAGCUUGCUCCUCUGACGUUAGCGGCGGACGGGUGAGUAACACGUGGAUAACCUACCUAUAAGACUGGGAUAACUUCGGGAAACCGGAGCUACUACCGGAUAAUAUAUUGAACCGCAUGGUUCAAUAGUGAAACACGGUUUUGCUGUCACUUAUAGAUGGAUCCGCGCCGCAUUAGCUAGUUGGUAAGGUAACGGCUUACCAAGGCGACGAUGCGUAGCCGACCUGAGAGGGUGAUCGGCCACACUGGAACUGAGACACGGUCCAGACUCCUACGGGAGGCAGCAGUAGGGAAUCUUCCGCAAUGGGCGAAAGCCUGACGGAGCAACGCCGCGUGAGUGAUGAAGGUCUUCGGAUCGUAAAACUCUGUUAUUAGGGAAGAACAAAUGUGUAAGUAACUAUGCACGUCUUGACGGUACCUAAUCAGAAAGCCACGGCUAACUACGUG